UGUACCUUAAUCUCUAAUCUAAUGUUUAACUAACAGUCUGUUAAAAUACAAACAGUGGUUUAAAUCAUAAUCGCUUCCAUCUUAUUUUAUACGGUUAUGUCAUCGAUGUGGGAAAGUUUUAUUAAAAAUGAAAUAAAUGCAAACGCGUAAGAUCAUCAAAUUUUUCUUAUGAUGAAAAAUUACAUCUAAUUAAUAUCAUCACAAAAUUCGAAAACGAACAAACAUACAAAUCAUCAAAAAAACUCGGCAUAGGAGACUUCAUUUUUUAAACGUUUGGUAUCUACAUACCAUGGCAGAAGUAGCUCUCCCAACAUAAAAGAAAAAACUAAAAAAACCGCAUAAUUAGCUAUUUUCGGGGAUUUAAUUUAAUAAUAAUUGAAAAGACUUAAACUUUGUUGAACAUACGGUACAAUUAAAAAAAAAAAAGAAUUAAGCCAAUGUUAAACGAUUAACUUUAUGGUCCAAGUGGUCAUAAUAUACACGGAACAAUAAAUGCAAUUCGUACCAAUAUAUUUUUCUGAAAAUAAAAUCAUCGCAAAUAUAAAAUGAUUUACUUUAGUUGGCGCUGAAAACAAAACCUUUUUUAUAUCGAAAUAGAUGAUGCUGAUCAUAUAAAUGGUAUUAUAUUUACACCCCGUAUAUUAUAUUAAUAAAUAUAACAAUAAAAAUUUUUUUAUUACUCUACAUUUAUUAUAUACAGUCAAGUGCCCUUAAUUGGGACAUUUUUUUUAGUGGAUGGUAGCACUUGCGAUUGUACUUCAUGCGUUUGCAACUAGGUUAUGUUAAACAAUAAUAAUAAAGUCACAAAUAACUGGUAUUUGUAAAGUGUGUGGUAUUUAUAUUCGGCAUUAAAAUCAGAUUAAGUCUAAAGUAUGUCUAAAUUCUUAGUUGAAUUUAUUUAUGAUGCUGGAACAAAAAACAUUCAUAGGAAAAAUCAUAAGUGAGGAAAACGGCAACUCUUUUUUCAAAGUCAGUUUUAUGGGAAACCAUAUGGGGUUCAAAAAUGUCUUUGUUUUUCCCAUUAUAGAGGACAUUGACAACAACGUUUCGGCAGAUCGCAUGAAACAACUUGUUAAGGCCACUUGCGAGUCCAGAGGAAAAUACACUUUUAAUUUAUAGAAAAUAGUUUUAUUUGUAUUUAUAAUAAUAUUCAUUUUUUCUUUCUUUUGUCAAGUUUUUAUAUAUUUGUGACAUUUUUUUGUUAAUAAAGCCUUAAAAAACUAGUUUUCUGAGCUUAAAUAUUUGUUGUUUUGAAUUGUAAAUAAAGUAACAGUUAUA